rnacentral:rRNA from 1 species
CCUACGGGAGGCAGCAGUGGGGAAUAUUGCACAAUGGGGGAAACCCUGAUGCAGCCAUGCCGCGUGUGUGAAGAAGGCCUUCGGGUUGUAAAGCACUUUCAGUUGUGAGGAAAAGUUAGUAGUUAAUACCUGCUAGCCGUGACGUUAACAACAGAAGAAGCACCGGCUAACUCCGUGCCAGCAGCCGCGGUAAUACGGAGGGUGCGAGCGUUAAUCGGAAUUACUGGGCGUAAAGCGCACGCAGGCGGUUUGUUAAGCUAGAUGUGAAAGCCCCGGGCUCAACCUGGGAUGGUCAUUUAGAACUGGCAGACUAGAGUCUUGGAGAGGGGAGUGGAAUUCCAGGUGUAGCGGUGAAAUGCGUAGAUAUCUGGAGGAACAUCAGUGGCGAAGGCGACUCCCUGGCCAAAGACUGACGCUCAUGUGCGAAAGUGUGGGUAGCGAACAGGAUUAGAUACCCUGGUAGUCCACAUCGUAAACGCUGUCUACUAGCUGUUUGUGACUUUAAGUCGUGAGUAGCGAAGCUAACGCGAUAAGUAGACCGCCUGGGGAGUACGGCCGCAAGGUUAAAACUCAAAGGAAUUGACGG